CUACAGCUCGGAAACCAGCUACACAUCAAAGGAGAUCAAGGACGAAGGCUUUGAUUCAGAGGAACAUGGCUGCAGAGUCAAGGAGCCACCACUCGAAUCCCAGCUGACAUGAUGAGAAAAGGUGAUAAUGCUUGUUGGACCUCCCUGCUACCGAUCCAUCCAGUCAUGAAGAGCCCACGGGAGAGCAGUGAAACGCUGCCACACAUGGCUCAGGCGCCGAGGGAAGGAUGCACGUCUCCCACAGGCCCCGCGUCAUGGCCUAGAUACUGUACCUGCCUCGCAUCCGAGUGGGAGGCAGCGGGAGCGAUGACAAAUCCCGCCGGGAUGCGCUUCGGCGAGGGAUUCUCUAAAAUGAUUAUCUGGACAGCCGAGGUGGAAAUCCAGUGAUUCACAACAUAAUAUAAAUCACUGCAGCACAAAAGUGCCAGUUGAAACCUAUCACUUCAUUCGUCCUGCACGUUGUGGUCCACGUCGCCAUGGCAGCGGGCUGGAUGUCCAUCCUCCUUCCCAGCUUUGCUCUUCACCGCCUCCUGGGAAAUCCUGUGGAGUUUCCAGGCCAGGGAGGAUAUGUAAUCUCUCCAGCUUCUUCUGGCUCUGCCCUGGGGUGUUUUCCCAAUAGAACGUGCCUAAAAUACCUCCGUAGGCAUGAAUCCAAAUGGCACCUGAACCAACUCAUCCUCUUCUCAACACAAAGAAGCAGUCUUACUCGUCGUACGUCUGAGCUGCUCACCGUGUCCCUGAGGCUGAGCCCCACAUACUAUGGGUCACAAUGUAGAUCAACUGGUAAACCAAGAGCUUCUGGUGAGACUUCAAACGUGGUUUGUUACAGAUAACCAGUUAUUAGAUUAACUCUGCAACCAUGAUAAUAUCUUCACUUUGUUUAUUAGAGCAUCAAACAUGAUGUAUACAGUAUGUUUACAUGUAAUUUGCUAACUGUGACUUAUUCUGAAUCUCUGUUAUUGCCUUGAAUUCUAAUUAAUUCUCGCAUUAAUUAGCAAACUCAUUAUAAAGCAUCGCUUCAUUCACUGAAUAA